ensembl:misc_RNA 7SK 7SK RNA
GGAUGUGAGGGUGAUCUGGCUGUGACAUCUGUCACCCCACUGAUUGCCAGGGUUGAUUCGGCUGAUCUGGCUGGGUAGGCAGGUGUCCCAUUCCUUCCUCACCGCUCCAUAUGCAUCUCUCCCAAAGCUGUGUGCUCAGUCAAAGAGGACGGCCUUCCCCGAAUAGAGACGGACCUGUCUUCAGUCUAGGGUAUAGAAGUAUAGUUGUGCUCCCUACUAGAACCCUCCACAUAAGUUCUCAAGGUAAUGUGUACACUCAAUCAUGUGCACCACCACACAGCCCCCAGGUAUUCCAU